GUGCCAGCCGCCGCGGUAAUACAGAGGGGGCAAGCGUUGUCCGGAAUUACUGGGCGUACAGCGCACGCAGGUGGCCAUUCAAGUGUGGUGUGAAAGCCCCGCGCUCAACGCGGGGAGGCCAGCACAGACUGGAUAGCUGGAGGGGUGCAGAGGGUUGGGGAAUUGCCGGUGUAGUGGUGAAAUGCGUAGAGAUCGGCAGGAACACCAAGGACGAAGGUACCAACCUGGGCAUCACCUGACACUCAGGUGCGAGAGCGUGGGGAGCGAACCGGAUUAGAUACCCGGGUAGUCCACGCCGUAAACGAUGGAUGCUCGGCAACUGGUGGGGAAACCUGCUGGGUGCCUCAGCUGACGCGCAAGCAUCCCGCCUGGGAAGUACGGUCGCAAGAUUAAAACUCAAAUGAAUUGACGG
rnacentral:rRNA from 1 species